UUGCCGUCAGCUGACAGCUGACCACCAUUUUGUCCGACAUCAGCGGUCUGGCGGACUUUUCAAAAAUAUAUCGACGUUUACAGUCAACUUUUUGAUCAUGGUGAAAAGGUGUAGCUGGGGUACCUGCAACUCGGACACGCGGUACCCGGAACGACUUGCUGGUGGUAUCACCUUUAUUCCAUUUCCCAAGCCUGCCAGAAAUUUUGACAAAUGUCAACGAUGGAUACGUUUGUGUGGUCGCCCCAAGUAUCAACUGAACAUGGACAUACUUCGUGACCACAGCCGAGGAAAACAUUUCUUCGUAUGUACAAAGCACUUUGUUGAUGGAAAACCCUCCAAGACAUUUCCGGACCCUGCGUCUGCACUACCUCAUGAACAAAAUGAAAAUCCAAAGACAGUAAGACCACGACCCAAACCACGCUUGCCAUUUAUGGGCGACAGAAAAAGGAAAGUUCUUCUUGAAACACACAGGUAAAACAUUGUUGCCUUUAUACUUACUGCUCACAAAACACGACAAAACCAUUGAAAUAUAAAAAUCAAACAAAUCCUUGUUUAUUCUGAGAGUAUCACAGAAAGUUAGUAAAGGUAAUGUCACACAUUUAGAUCCUUUGUAGUUAUGAAAAGACAGAAGUAUCACGUGCAUCACAAGAUCACAAUCAUACUCAAGUUCUAUUCAUAUAAGCAUGAUGAAGGGACUGAUAUCACCUGCAGCAGGUGCAUAUUGACAU